rnacentral:rRNA from 1 species
GGAGUUAGCCGGUGCUUCUUCUGUGAGUGAUGUCCUUCCUGCCGGCUAUUAACCCGCAGGCCUUCUUCCUCACUGAAAGUGCUUUACAACCCGAAGGCCUUCUUCACACACGCGGCAUGGCUGGAUCAGGGUUGCCCCCAUUGUCCAAUAUUCCCCACUGCUGCCUCCCGUAGGAGUCUGGGCCGUGUCUCAGUCCCAGUGUGGCUGAUCAUCCUCUCAGACCAGCUACGGAUCGUCGCCUUGGUGAGCCGUUACCUCACCAACCAGCUAAUCCGACAUAGGCUCAUCCGAUAGCGCGAGGCCCGAAGGUCCCCCGCUUUCCCCCGUAGGGCGUAUGCGGUAUUAGCCUGGGUUUCCCCAGGUUAUCCCCCACUACCGGGCAGAUUCCUAUGCAUUACUCACCCGUCCGCCGCUCGCCACCAGGGAGCAAGCUCCCCGUGCUGCCGCUCGACUUGCAUGUGUAGCUGCGCACGCGUCAUCUGAGCGAGAUACAACUACUGA